rnacentral:lncRNA from 1 species
CAAGCUUCUGUGGCUGGAGAACUUGUCUAACUACACGAGACAGACAAGCAGCCGCAAAGACAAAGGGAGGCAUCCCAGAUGCUCCCUUUGGGGCCUGGGGCUCCUCUGUUCUCCCACAACCUGUCUCGCUGUUUGUCAGGAGAUGCUGUAGUGAUGGAUGACCCCAAGGCGAGGCACCCAGCAAAAUGCCCAAAGGAUGUAGAAAAUCUGGUCUGUUCUCAGAUUCAUGGCCCACAUUUCACAGUCAUCACAGUGCAAGUGAAUCAGUUUUUUUUUUGUCCACGGCCUCUAGAACUAGGGUAGCUUGUUAGUAUGACUAAUAAGGCCACAGAUGCCAGGACAUGGAAGGGACUUUAGAGUAAUGCCAAAAUUUCAAACUAGUUUUAAAGUGUAAUUAAACAAAACAGAGGGGUUUUGUUGUUGUUCAUUUAUUGAAUAGGCAGAUAUUUUAUAAAGAGAGGACACUAGACAGGGGAAGAAGACCUGGAAGAGCUGGGUGUGAGUCCUGGUCUCAUAACUUACAAACUGUGAUCUUAACAAAGUGACUUUAUUUAAUUUUUUCCGGCUUUAUUGUGGUAUAAUUGACAAAUAAAAAUUUUAUGUAUUUAUAAUGUAUAACAUGUUGCUUUAAUGUAAGUGUACAUAGUAAAAUGAUUACUGCAAUCAAGCUAAUUUACAUACCUAACACCUCAUGUAGUUAUUUUUGUUUUUUGAUGUGAAUAUUUAAGAUCUACUCUCUUAGGGAUUUUCAAGUAUACACUAUAUUAUUAUUAACUAUAGUCACAAUGCUGUACAAUAGAUCUCCAGAACUUACCCUAUCUAACUGAAAUUCUGUACCUUUUGACCAACAUCUCCCCUUCCCCUGCCCCCAGUCCCUGGCAGCCACCAUUCAGGAAAGUGACUUAGUUUGUUCCUAGUUCCUUCUCUAUUAUUAGGUGGGAGUGGUUGUCAUGAGAAGUAAGAUAACACCUAUGAAAGGGCUUUGUAAAUAGAAAGUACUGUUUAAACUGUAAGCAUAAAAAAUGUAUGGUGAGGCAGUAGGAUAAUUAAGUGCGCCUAGAGUUCAUGCUUAUUGAGCACCUAGCUGUGAAGGCAAUGGUCAAGUGCUUUCCAUUCAUUGGUUCGUCUAACCGUUAACUGCACCCAUUGGAUGCAGAUGUUUUUCUAUUUUCUAUGUUUUACAGAUGAGGAAACUGAAGCUUGGAGGUUUUCAGUAACUUGCUUACAGAGGUGAAACAAUGAGACUAAAGGACAUAUGGCCCCUGAAGCCACACUGGCUGCACAGACAAAGCCCCAAGUUGGCGGUACCUUGGUUUGGUUGCCAAGAUCUAGGACCUCAGCCUCAGAAAUUUGAUUGCUAGUAUACACAAGUGUGAACUGGACUUAUGAGUUAAUUUAAUCUAAAUCUAACUUAUAAGAGACUGAUAGAUGCAAUCUAGGAUGUCAAUUUAUGAAUUUAUAAUGAGAAACAUCUAAUAAGUAGAUUGAACCUCCUUUUAACAGAUCAGCAGGGUCUUUUCUUGUAGGGAAGCCAAAUUAUAAUCAAUAGCUUGCUUGAUGGAGAUGAAAUCAGAGCACACGAAUUGGUAAUAGUAGUAACAAUUACAGCUAUGAUAGUAGUAAUGACCAACACACUGACCAACUACUAAGUGCCAGGCAUAAUGAUUUAUGUGAACUAUUGCAUCUAAUUUCUACAGUAAUCCUAGCAGGUACUGUUUUGUUCCCAUGUUACGGGUGAGGAAACGGAGAUAUAGCAAGGUUAAGCAACUUACCCAAGGCGGUGAAUGUAAUAAGCAGUAGAGCUGGAAUUUGACCCCAGGCACUCUGCUCCACUGAGGGUUGAUUUGCUUCCCAUAGGCAGCACCACAUAGGAAGAUUUCGAUUCCAAAUUCAGAGGGAAAAGUCAGGGUGCAGCAUAUAGCUAGCAGCAGAAAGUAGUUUGUGAUAAGGCCCCUAUGGGUGGCCAAGCAAGAAGAGGGCAGGAAAGGCUCACGGAAUCAGAGAAGUCUGCAUUAGUGGAUGAGGAAGGCUUGAGAUAGGCCUGGAUGCAUGAGUAGGAUUUGGGAAGGUGAGACUCACUGGAAGCAGAGCAAGUGCGAUGAGCCAGAAGGUGGGUGAUGGAAUGUGCACAGCACACCUAGAAGACGCGAUCUGUACUGAGAGGCAGAAGGAGGAAGUACUUGGAGAACCUCCAGUGCUCAGGGUGGACCUCAAAUGCUGAGUUGCGGUUUUAUCCCAGUCUUUGGUAAACAUAGAUGGUGUCAUGCUUGUCUACAGGUCUGAAUUGAGUGCCAGCUCUGCACCAGGCAUCCUAGGAGAUGUUGAGGACAGAAAUGUGGCUCACGUUCAGUCUCUGCCUUCCAGAUGCUUGCAGCUUGGUCCAGGAGGCCAGCAGGACCAGAGAGAAGACCACAGCGACACAUGGGGAUGGCUGUCCCACAGGCAGAAAUGAGCAGCCGGGAGGAAGCCCAGGCAGCCAGCCACCCAGCUCCCUCCACAUCGUGGCCCUAGAACGGAGUCUUGAAGAAUAAGAAGCCACAGCUUGUCAGGGAAUCAGGCUGGAAAAAUGUUAUGAGACUGAGUAAGACCAGAGUUUCUGGGUCAUUGGUGAGACUGGAUUUCAUAGAAGAGUCUUUGCUACAGCAAAACCUCUCUUCAAGCAAUACACUAUUCAAGCUGCUGGAGGCUAGAUUGACCAGAAAAAUGGGGCCAAUAUCAUGAUUCCUCAGCAGUGCCUGGAGAAGACCAGGAGAGGAAGCAGAAGACCCUCCUCAAAGAAGCAGCCUUCACCUCCAGACCUCCCAGCGGGACUUAGACAAUGGGGUUAGGCAGUCACAUGUCUGCACGUGGAAACUUUCUGGGACUGUGCUUGGAUCCUGGCUCUGCCUUUUACUAGCCAUGUGACCUUGGGAAAAUCACUUGACUUCUCCGUGCAGGAUUCCUCAUCUGUAAAAAUGGUCUAAGAUUAGGAGCCACCUCAAGGUUGUUGUAGGAAUUAAAUUAAUUCAUGUUUAUAAAGUGCUUUGAACAGCGUUUGGCACAUGGAGAAUUAAAUGAGCAAACGGAAGAGCAGCAACCCUGAGUUACAUUUCUCAAGACACCGGGGCUCUUGAUGGCACAGCAGCAGCUUGCUAGAGCUUGGUAAAGAGACUUGGGCCUGGUACCUGAAGGGCAAUUCCUUGGCCAUGACAUUGUAGGGAAAGACCUCUAUGGGUGUUGAAAAGACAAGGCGAGGACAAGAAGAGUUGAAAAGGAGCUGUUCUGAAGCCACCUGGCUGUGGAUGGAGGAAGCCACAUGUAGCUUAGGUAGCCUGCUAUUGUAAUUUUUUCUGCAACUGAAGAAUUCGAAAUGGGUUUGGUGGGUAGCGAAGGGCAGAAUCUGGCUUCAAGGUGACAGAGUUUGCAUAGAGAUGGCCUUCUUGAGCAAAGGUAGUGACUCCUACAUUUUUUUUUUUUGUAGAGUUGUGAUACCCAUGAGUUAGUCAGCUUGGGCUAUCAUAACAAAAUACCACACAUUGGUUGGCUUAAACAACAGAAAUUCAUUUUCCUGUAAUUCUGGAGGCUGGAAGUCCAAGAUCAAGGUGACGACAGAGUUGGGUUUCCUCUGAAGCCUCUCUCCUUGGUUUUCAGAUGGGUGUCCUCUUGCUGUCUCUUCAUGUGACUGUCCCUCUGCAUGUGUG